AGAGUUUGAUCAUGGCUCAGGACGAACGCUGGCGGCGUGCUUAACACAUGCAAGUGGAGCGACGAAGCGGGCUUCGGCCCGUGGCAGAGCCGCGAACGGGUGAGUAACACGUGGGUAACCUACCCCGAUGACCGGGACAACCCGAGGAAACUCGAGCUAAUACCGGAUGUUCUCGCUUCUCGUAAGGGAAGUGAGCAAAGAUAGCUUCGGCCUUCGCAUCGGGACGGGCCCGCGGCCCAUUAGCUUGUUGGUGGGGUAAUGGCCUACCAAGGCUUCGAUGGGUAGCUGGUCUGAGAAGACGAUCAGCCACACUGGGACUGAGACACGGCCCAGACUCCUACGGGAGGCAGCAGUGGGGAAUCUUGCGCAAUGCGCGAAAGCGUGACGCAGCAACGCCGCGUGGGGGAAGAAGGCCUUCGGGUUGUAAACCCCUUUCAGUUGGGACGAAGCUUCGUCGGUUAAUAGCCGGCUGGAGUGACGGUACCUUCAGAAGAAGCCCCGGCUAACUACGUGCCAGCAGCCGCGGUAAUACA
rnacentral:rRNA from 1 species